GGAAACAGGAGGCGAGAGGGAGGAGGCGCUUAAAGCAAGCUGGUGGGGCGGGGGUGAGCAUUGCCAUUGUCCGGGGGCGGUUACUGAGAAGGUGGCGUUGGAACAGGGAAUCCCCGGUAGGUGAGGGAGUGAGCGCCUCCGAGGAAGGCACAGUGCAGACAGAAACUUCAGUGAGAGAAGAGACCUCGUUAGUGUGGGCUUUGGCUGGUGGACGCCUCCCUGAGGGGCUGGGCCAGGGGCAGAAGAGAGGGGGUAUCGCGAGGCACAUCCCUGGGCAGGCCAGCCCUGCCGAAUCCUGCAAGGCCUGGAUCCCCAAGUGGUCCUGUACCCUUCGGGGUCCACAGCCCCCCAACGCUGCAUGUGCAGCCUCAGAGCCCAUCGGGCCCUUCCUGGAGCCAGUGGCGUCCUCCGGGAGGGCACAGCUACCCUCGGCUUGGCCUCUUCCCUCCCUUCUUUCUUUUCUCUCUCUAUUUUUUAAGAUUUAUUUAUUUAUUUAUUUGAAAGUCAAAGUUACACAUAGAAGGAGAGGUAGAGAGGUCCUCCAUCUGCUGGUUCAUUCCCCAAAUGGCCCCAAAGUCCGGAGCUGCACUGAUCUGAAACCAGGAGCCAGGAGCUUCUUCUGGGUCUCCCAUGUGGGUUCAGGGGUCCAAGGACUUGGCCAUCUUCUACUGCUCUCCCAGGCCAUAGCAGAGCACUGGAUUGGAAGUAGAGCAGCUGGGACUUGAACCGGUGCCCAUACAGGAUGCUGGCACUGCAGGCAGUGGCUCUAACCGCUCUGCCACAGCGCCAGUCCCUACCUCCCUCCUUUCAACUCCUGACACAAGGCACUCAAGACACAGACACAGGCAACACCCUUGGCAAAAGGACACAGCGUGCUACACUCUGUGCAGCUCCCUCCAGCCUUGAACCCGAGAGCUGCUUUGAGCCCAGGAAAUGGCUUCGGCCCCAUUCCUGUGUCCACAGAGGCAUGGGGUGGUUGCACCUGGAUGGUUUGCCUCUGCCGCCAGUCCUGGGCACGUGCGUUUAGAUGGAACUUCCUCCUCCACUGAAUGCCCUCCCUUCCUCCCACACCUGCACAUGUCACAC
rnacentral:lncRNA from 1 species